rnacentral:misc_RNA from 1 species
CUUCAGAGAGAGCCUGCCGACGAUGAUCGGUUUUCCGCUGCUUCUGAUUCCGUUCGCGAUCUACAACAUCUUCGUGUUCCUGAUGCCGGGCGUGGCGUUCACCGCGCCGGUCGCNNNNNNNNNNNNNGUGUGCAGUGGGCGCCGACGUUCGGCGAUGCGCUGCUGGCGCUGACAGCGCUUCUCCUGAUGUUCGAAGUCAUCAAGGCCGCGCGUCCCGGCGCGCGAUACCUGACCGAUCAUUUGCUGUCGCUGGUUGUGUCAGGCGCUGCGGGGGCGGGGGUUCUGCUGC